AGACUUGCUGUAAACAUGCUGUAAACACGUCUGCAACACAUAGCAAGUAGUAAGUUAGGGAGAAGUAGGUGAGACGCAGGCGUGCCGCAGAGAUUUUUCCUUUUUUUUUGCCUUUUUUCAACCCCACCCCAAAUGCUCAACACGUGCAGCGUGACUGUUAACAAUUACAAACUAGAGUGUAGUUUGUAAUUGUUAAACACAUCAGUUUUGAUCCGUAAACAAUUCUAAAUCGUUUUAUGAAUUUAAAAUAAUUCUAAUGUUUAUAUGAUUUAGAGUAAAAGUAAUUGUGUUUUUGACUCUGACAUUUUUAAAGAGACACAAACAUGGCUGACCUUCCUGAUCUGGCCAUCUGACCGUUUGGAAGCAUUUUGGCCUUCAUAGUGUCGAGGUUCAGCUGGAUAAAAGUCAGGCUGUGGAUUUCAGUGGAGCCGACACAAGAAGUUCCCCCGCAGAACUGGAGCCUCAGAUCAGGAACAGGAACGCGUAAACGAGGCUUAACGGACGAUAACUUCAGCAGAUAUUAGCAUUGAAUCCUUUGAGCAGCUCCAGCCUCACGGCCUGACAGCGUACGUUGUUCCCCUGAUGUCCUGAGCAGCUAACGCACAUAAGUGUUGUGAGGCUCUGCUCAGCUUCAGCUUCGGUCUUAUCUCCAUGUUUACUUGUGACACGGAUCAAAGGCAGACUGCUUUUGAUGGGUUGGUCGUAAAAAGUGUAAACUCCUCCACUCCUGUGAAGGAGUUUACGAUUUCAUUCCAACGGAAAAAAAAAAAGCCCAGGAGGCGCAGGGCGGCUCCAGCAGCUGCGCCCGACAGGUGAGCGCACGGGACAGACGUCCAAACACAGACAAACGGGAGGAGGGAAAGGAGAAUGUGGAAGAGCCUAAGAGGCAAAAGUCUGCACACCCGGGAUACUGUUGUUACCAUGGCAACAGCUUGGUACCAGCUGUCCUCUGGACCAGUACUGAUCCACAGCCCGGGAGUCAGGUCAGGUACCGCUGCCCUAAAGGGAGCAGCCGAAAGGUAAAAGAAGAUCAUAGGUUUGUAUGAACUACAUCCUUUUAUGGGAAAUUGUCUUUCUAAACUCAAAGUUUGCAUUAAUAUGAUUUAUCAUCGAGUAAAAAUAUGCAUCAAGCUGAGUUUCGGGACCACCUCCCAUUUGCUGCAAGCCUUUCAAAUGGAAAAGCAUCAACAGGUGGGAAGGAGGAGACGACAUGAAACAACACGGCUGCCAAGAAAUCUCCACAAAAAUUUUGCACAGACAUGGAAAUCAAGCGAAAACAAUCGGCAUAGACGGAGCACAAGCUGAAGGACUCGGCCAGCUGAAGCACAGAGGGGCCGAUUCACGGAGCCGGCGAGCGGCUGGCAUGCAAAUGGAGCCUGCAUGGGGUUACAGGCAGGGUGAGAAGCGGCUGCACCAAGAGCCUUCACAGGCAGUCAUUUGCCAGCAUUCAGCUCUCAUCAAUAUCAGGACCGAUUAAUGAGGCUGGGGGAGGGGGGCAGCCAGGUGUCGGAGGAGACAGAAUGGAAAUAAAGAGGGCGCAGGCACUGAUCCGCGAGGAAUUCCUGCAACAAGAGCAGUGGGGGGCGGGGGGUCCUGCUGAUCAAUCGGAGUACUACAAAAAGAAUUAAAAACGUUUUUUU